ACCAUACAAAGGUAUUGUAAUAAGAUUUUAAAUGGGUGCUAAGAGAAUGGAUAAAUAGGGAGAUGCUUUUUUUAAAAAAAAAUUGAGAAUUUAAGUUAAAAAUAAAAAUGUUUUUAUAAGAAUAUUAGACAAGAAGACCCUAAAAUCUUUUAUAAAUUAGUUAUUUUAAUUGGGGCAAUAUAAAAAUAUUAAGAAAUUUUUUAAUGAUAGUUUUUUAAAAGAAAAUAGUUAAGAUACUUUAGGGAUAACAGCGUAAUUAUUUUGGAGAGUUCAUAUUGAUAAAAUAGUUUGCGACCUCG
rnacentral:rRNA from 1 species